GACGAACGCUGGCGGCGCGCCUAACACAUGCAAGUCGAACGAGCGAGAGAGAGCUUGCUUUCUUGAGCGAGUGGCGAACGGGUGAGUAACGCGUGAGGAACCUGCCUCAAAGAGGGGGACAACAGUUGGAAACGACUGCUAAUACCGCAUAAGCCCACGGUGCCGCAUGGCACAGAGGGAAAAGGAGCAAUCCGCUUUGAGAUGGCCUCGCGUCCGAUUAGCUAGUUGGUGAGGUAACGGCCCACCAAGGCGACGAUCGGUAGCCGGACUGAGAGGUUGAACGGUCACAGUGGGACUGAGACACGGCCCAGACUCCUACGGGAGGCAGCAGUUGGGAAUAUUGCACAAUGGGGGAAACACUGAUGCAGCGACGCCGCGUGGAGGAAGAAGGUCUUCGGAUUGUAAACUCCUGUUGUUGGGGAAGAUAAUGACGGUACCCAACAAGGAAGUGACGGCUAACUACGUG
rnacentral:rRNA from 1 species